UUCAGACAAGCUUCUACAUCAGACAAAUUUCAGACGGACUUUUCUAGCAAUCGGACUCCAGCCAAAUUUCUUCAACAGAAAGUUUCCGUCCGGGCUUCUAUAGCAGAUGACUUUCGUCUGCAGCAUCAACAUCUAAGGCACCCAACAACAGUUAAUCCAUCAGCAACUUUGGAAACAUCCGAGUUUCUCUUAAAUUACUAAGACAGAGAGUUAUUCCGCUCCACC
rnacentral:lncRNA from 1 species